rnacentral:rRNA from 1 species
AUGAGACAGCGCCGUAUCACCACGCACGCCCCUGAUCUGGACGGCACAGCCGAGUCCGUGGCGGCGUGGUCCUUCUCCCCAGGUCACUGGAUCCAGCCGAGAUUCAUCCUGGAUGCAUCGUCCAGCCGCUGCCCUCGAUGCCUCCGCUGCGUCUCUCUCCGUGGCCCAGCCGCUGCCCUCGAGUCACCGUCCGACAGCCUCGACACCUACCGGCAGUCGGACGGGCGCGCAGCCGCACCUGUUAACAUCCAAUUUCACAAGAAGGUGCUCUUGCAGGUAAGCACGAUGGUUCUCCGAUCUGCUGUACUUUCACUCAAUUUUGUUUGGACGGUGGGUAAUUCCUUUCAUCUAGUCUUCAAUAAACCAGAUCAGUUUAUACACGCAGGGGACUUUCUGGACUGGCGCUAUGCCGCUCUAACCUUCUCUCCUCCUCUGUUCCAACUCCCCUCCUCCUCGUUCCCCCAAUCUUUCCCUCGCCCUCUGAUCUCUCUCUAA